GAGUUUGAUCCUGGCUCAGGACAAACGCUGGUGGUGUGCCUAAUACAUGCAAGUCGAACGAGAAAGUCCCUUCGGGGGCGAGUAAAGUGGCGAACGGGUGAGUAACGCGUAGAUAACAUACCUUCAGGUGGGGGAUAGCCAGUCGAAAGAUUGGAUAAUACCGCAUAUGACCACAGUAUCUGUGGAUACAGGGGUAAAAGAUUUAUCGCCUAAAGAUUGGUCUGCGUCCGAUUAGCUUGUUGGUGGGGUAAAAGCCUACCAAGGCUGUGAUCGGUAGCUGGUCUGAGAGGAUGAUCAGCCACAUUGGGACUGAGACACGGCCCAAACUCCUACGGGAGGCAGCAGUAGGGAAUCUUGCGCAAUGGGGGAAACCCUGACGCAGCGACACCACAUGAGUGAUGAAGGCUCUAGGGUUGUAAAGCUCUGUUCUUGACGAACAAACAAAUGAUUAGUCAAGGAGAAAGGACCGGCUAACUUCGUGCCAGCAGCUGCGGUAAGACGAGGGGUCCAAGCGUUGUCCGGAAUUAUUGGGCGUAAAGCGGGUGUAGGCGGUUUUGCAAGUCAGAAGUGAAAGCCUCAGGCUCAAACCUGAGAAGUGCUUUUGAUACUGGAUAACUUGAGUUGGAAGAAGGGGCAAUUGGGAAUUUUCCCUU
rnacentral:rRNA from 1 species